rnacentral:rRNA from 1 species
AGUGAACGCUGGCGGUAGGCCUAACACAUGCAAGUCGAACGGCAGCACAGUAAGAGCUUGCUCUUACGGGUGGCGAGUGGCGGACGGGUGAGGAAUACAUCGGAAUCUACUUUUUCGUGGGGGAUAACGUAGGGAAACCUACGCCAAUACCGCAUACGACCUACGGGUGAAAGCAGGGGAUCUUUGGGCCUUGCGCGAUUGAAUGAGCCGAUGUCGGAUUAGCUAGUUGGCGGGGUAAAGGCCCACCAAGGCGACGAUCCGUAGCUGGUCUGAGAGGAUGAUCAGCCACACUGGAACGGAGACACGGUCCAGACUCCUACGGGAGGCAGCAGUGGGGAAUAUUGGACAAUGGGCGCAAGCCUGAUCCAGCCAUACCGCGUGGGUGAAGAAGGCCUUCGGGUUGUAAAGCCCUUUUGUUGGGAAAGAAAAGCAGCAGGUUAAUACCCCGCUGUUCUGACGGUACCCAAAGAAUAAGCACCGGCUAACUUCGUG